AGGGCACCCGUGAUUGAGUUGGUAUGUUAAGUAAUUUAAAAGGUCAAAUUUUGAUUAUUAUAGGUCUAAUUAUACCAUUAUUUAAGCUAUAUUCUAAAACAAGGAUUAGAUACCCUUUUAUUAUUAGUAUAGAUAACAAUUGGGGACUACAAGCAAUUGCUUAAAAACCCAAGAUUUUGGCGGUGUCUUAUUCUAUCAGAGGGAUCUGUCUCGUAAUCGACAACCCACGAAACAAUUAUCUUAUUUUGAUUAUGAGCUUGUGUACUGCCGUUUGUAUAGGCCCUUAAGGUUACCUAUAAUUAACUUAAUUAAGUUUUAUGACAGGUCAAAGUGCAGCAAAUAUUAAGAAGAAGAUGGAUUACAUUCUAUAACAUAGUCUAUAAAUACGGUUAAACCAUUUUUUAUGAAGAAUUUGAUAGUAAUAUUAUCUAUGUGGUACUAUGAAUAAGAUCUUAAGACAAGCACAUAUCGCCCGUCACUCCUUUAUAUAGGAUAAGUCGACCAAAAGUAAAGG
rnacentral:rRNA from 1 species